GUCGUUGUCCAAAAAGGCUAUACACAGAUGCGUCAUGGAUACGGAUGGACGUUCGGGGCGCCCUUUCAAGGUGAAAACACGGGUUCGAAUCCCGUUGGGGACGCCA
rnacentral:tRNA from 1 species